rnacentral:rRNA from 1 species
GUGAGGAAUUUUGCGCAAUGGGGGCAACCCUGACGCAGCGACGCCGCGUGGAGGACGAAGUCUUUCGGGAUGUAAACUCCUGUCAGUGGAGACGAUAAUGACGGUACCCACAGAGGAAGCACCGGCUAACUCCGUGCCAGCAGCCGCGGUAAGACGGAGGGUGCAAGCGUUGUUCGGAAUUACUGGGCGUAAAGCGUAUGUAGGCGGCAAGUUAAGUUCAAUGUUAAAGCCCACGGCUCAACCGAGGAGAUGCAUUGAAUACUGGCUAGCUAGAGGGUGUUAGAGGAAGACGGAAUUCCCAGUGUAGCGGUGAAAUGCGUAGAUAUUGGGAGGAACAUCGGUAGCGAAAGCGGUCUUCUGGGACAUACCUGACGCUGAGGUACGAAAGCGUGGGGAGCAAACGGGAUUAGAAACCCCUGUAGUCC